rnacentral:rRNA from 1 species
AGUUAAACUGCCGCGGUAUUUUGACCGUGCGAAGGUAGCGCAAUCACUUGUCUUUUAAAUGAAGACCUGUAUGAAUGGUGGAACGAGGGCUUAACUGUCUCCCCUUUCAAGUCAAUGAAAUUGAUCUGCCCGUGCAGAAGCGGACAUAAAAAUACAAGACGAGAAGACCCUUUGGAGCUUAAGAUAUAAAAUCAACUAUGUCAAGAACCAUAAAGUCAAACUAAAUAGCACAUGAUUCUAAUCUUCGGUUGGGGCGACCACGGGAGAAAACCAAGCUCCCAUGAGGACUGGGGUAAACCCCUAAAACUAAGAAAGACAUUUCUAAGCCACAGAACAUCUGACCAUAGAGAUCCGGGCACACCGAUCAACGAACCAAGUUACCCUAGGGAUAACAGCGCAAUCCCCUUCCAGAGUCCAUAUCGACAAGGGGGUUUACGACCUCGAUGUUGGAUCAGGACAUCCUAAUGGUGCAGCCGCUAUUAAGGGUUCGUUUGUUCAACGAUUAAAGUCCUACGUGAUCUGAGU